GACGAACGCUGGCGGCGUGCUUAACACAUGCAAGUCGAACGGAAAGGCCCUGCUUUUGUGGGGUGCUCGAGUGGCGAACGGGUGAGUAACACGUGAGUAACCUGCCCUUGACUUUGGGAUAACUUCAGGAAAAUGGGGCUAAUACCGGAUAGGAGCUCCUGCUGCAUGGUGGGGGUUGGAAAGUUUCGGCGGUUGGGGAUGGACUCGCGGCUUAUCAGCUUGUUGGUGGGGUAGUGGCUUACCAAGGCUUUGACGGGUAGCCGGCCUGAGAGGGUGACCGGCCACAUUGGGACUGAGAUACGGCCCAGACUCCUACGGGAGGCAGCAGUGGGGAAUAUUGCACAAUGGGCGGAAGACUGAUGCAGCAACGCCGCGUGCGGGAUGACGGCCUUCGGGGUGUAAACCGCUUUCGCCUGUGACUAAGCGUGAGUGACGGUAAUGGGUAAAGAAGCAACGGCUAACUACGUG
rnacentral:rRNA from 1 species